rfam:Triticum aestivum genome assembly, contig: Triticum_aestivum_CS42_TGACv1_scaffold_516154_6BS
UUUCUACUCCCUCCGCCCGAAAAUACUUGUGAGCGAAAUAAAUGUAUCUAGACGUAUUUUAGCUUUAGAUACAUCUAUUUUUAUUUAUUUAUGCGACAAGUAUUUUCGCACGAAGGAAGUACUUC